rnacentral:rRNA from 1 species
CCUACGAGUGGCAGCAGUGAGGAAUAUUGGUCAAUGGCCAGAAGGCUGAACCAGCCAUGCCGCGUGAAGGUCAGUGCCCUAUGGGCGUUAAACUUCUUUUGUGCGGGAGCAAUAAUGGUCACGUGUGGCCAGACGAGAGUACCGUACGCAUAAGCAUCGGCUAACUCCGUGCCAGCAGCCGCGGUAAUACGGGGGAUGCAAGCGGUAUCCGGAUUUAUUGGGUUUAAAGGGUGCUUCGGCUGGGAGGUAAGUCAGCGGUGAAAUGCCCCCGCUCAACGGGGUGAAGUGCCAUUGAUACUGCCUGGCUGGAAUGCGGAUGCCGUGGGAGGAAUGUGUGGUGUAGCGGUGAAAUGCAUAGAUAUCACACAGAACACCGAUUGCGAAGGCAUCUCACGAAUCCGCGAUUGACGCUGAUGCACGAAAGCGUGGGUAUCAAACAGGAUUAGAUACCCCAGUAGUC